GAUGAACGCUGGCGGUGUGCCUAAUACAUGCAAGUCGAGCGAACGGACGAGAAGCUUGCUUCUCUGAUGUUAGCGGCGGACGGGUGAGUAACACGUGGAUAACCUACCUAUAAGACUGGGAUAACUUCGGGAAACCGGAGCUAAUACCGGAUAAUAUUUUGAACCGCAUGGUUCAAAAGUGAAAGACGGUCUUGCUGUCACUUAUAGAUGGAUCCGCGCUGCAUUAGCUAGUUGGUAAGGUAACGGCUUACCAAGGCAACGAUGCAUAGCCGACCUGAGAGGGUGAUCGGCCACACUGGAACUGAGACACGGUCCAGACUCCUACGGGAGGCAGCAGUAGGGAAUCUUCCGCAAUGGGCGAAAGCCUGACGGAGCAACGCCGCGUGAGUGAUGAAGGUCUUCGGAUCGUAAAACUCUGUUAUUAGGGAAGAACAUAUGUGUAAGUAACUGUGCACAUCUUGACGGUACCUAAUCACAAAGCCACGGCUAACUACGUGCCAGCAGCCGCGGUAAUACGUAUGUGGCCAGCGUUAUCCGGAAUUAUUGGGCGUAAAGCGCGCGUAUGCGGUUCUUUAAGUCUGAUGUGAAAGCCCACGGCUCAACCGUGGAGGGUCAUUGGAAACUGGAAAACUUGAGUGCAGAAGAGGAAAGUGGAAUUCCAUGUGUAGCGGUGAAAUGCGCAGAGAUAUGGAGGAACACCAGUGGCGAAGGCGACUUUCUGGUCUGUAACUGACGCUGAUGUGCGAAAGCGUGGGGAUCAAACAGGAUUAGAUACCCUGGUAGUCCACGCCGUAAACGAUGAGUGCUAAGUGUUAGGGGGUUUCCGCCCCUUAGUGCUGCAGCUAACGCAUUAAGCACUCCGCCUGGGGAGUACGACCGCAAGGUUGAAACUCAAAGGAAUUGACGGGGACCCGCACAAGCGGUGGAGCAUGUGGUUUAAUUCGAAGCAACGCGAAGAACCUUACCAAAUCUUGACAUCCUUUGACAACUCUAGAGAUAGAGCCUUCCCCUUCGGGGGACAAAGUGACAGGUGGUGCAUGGUUGUCGUCAGCUCGUGUCGUGAGAUGUUGGGUUAAGUCCCGCAACGAGCGCAACCCUUAAGCUUAGUUGCCAUCAUUAAGUUGGGCACUCUAAGUUGACUGCCGGUGACAAACCGGAGGAAGGUGGGGAUGACGUCAAAUCAUCAUGCCCCUUAUGAUUUGGGCUACACACGUGCUACAAUGGACAAUACAAAGGGCAGCGAAACCGCGAGGUCAAGCAAAUCCCAUAAAGUUGUUCUCAGUUCGGAUUGUAGUCUGCAACUCGACUACAUGAAGCUGGAAUCGCUAGUAAUCGUAGAUCAGCAUGCUACGGUGAAUACGUUCCCGGGUCU
rnacentral:rRNA from 1 species